AUGAACGCUAGCUACAGGCUUAACACAUGCAAGUCGAGGGGCAGCAUGAACUUAGCUUGCUAAGUUUGAUGGCGACCGGCGCACGGGUGAGUAACACGUAUCCAACCUGCCGAUGACUCGGGGAUAGCCUUUCGAAAGAAAGAUUAAUACCCGAUGGCAUAGUUCUUCCGCAUGGUAGAACUAUUAAAGAAUUUCGGUCAUCGAUGGGGAUGCGUUCCAUUAGGUUGUUGGCGGGGUAACGGCCCACCAAGCCUUCGAUGGAUAGGGGUUCUGAGAGGAAGGUCCCCCACAUUGGAACUGAGACACGGUCCAAACUCCUACGGGAGGCAGCAGUGAGGAAUAUUGGUCAAUGGACGAGAGUCUGAACCAGCCAAGUAGCGUGAAGGAUGACUGCCCUAUGGGUUGUAAACUUCUUUUAUACGGGAAUAAAGUGAGGCACGUGUGCCUUUUUGUAUGUACCGUAUGAAUAAGGAUCGGCUAACUCCGUGCCAGCAGCCGCGGUAAUACGGAGGAUCCGAGCGUUAUCCGGAUUUAUUGGGUUUAAAGGGAGCGUAGGCGGACGCUUAAGUCAGUUGUGAAAGUUUGCGGCUCAACCGUAAAAUUGCAGUUGAUACUGGGUGUCUUGAGUACAGUAGAGGCAGGCGGAAUUCGUGGUGUAGCGGUGAAAUGCUUAGAUAUCACGAAGAACUCCGAUUGCGAAGGCAGCCUGCUGGACUGUAACUGACGCUGAUGCUCGAAAGUGUGGGUAUCAAACAGGAUUAGAUACCCUGGUAGUCCACACAGUAAACGAUGAAUACUCGCUGUUUGCGAUAUACAGUAAGCGGCCAAGCGAAAGCGUUAAGUAUUCCACCUGGGGAGUACGCCGGCAACGGUGAAACUCAAAGGAAUUGACGGGGGCCCGCACAAGCGGAGGAACAUGUGGUUUAAUUCGAUGAUACGCGAGGAACCUUACCCGGGCUUGAAUUGCAACUGAAUGAUGUGGAGACAUGUCAGCCGCAAGGCAGUUGUGAAGGUGCUGCAUGGUUGUCGUCAGCUCGUGCCGUGAGGUGUCGGCUUAAGUGCCAUAACGAGCGCAACCCUUAUCGAUAGUUACCAUCAGGUGAUGCUGGGGACUCUGUCGAGACUGCCGUCGUAAGAUGUGAGGAAGGUGGGGAUGACGUCAAAUCAGCACGGCCCUUACGUCCGGGGCUACACACGUGUUACAAUGGGGAGUACAGAGGGCAGCUACCGGGCGACCGGAUGCGAAUCCCGAAAGCUCCUCUCAGUUCGGACUGGAGUCUGCAACCCGACUCCACGAAGCUGGAUUCGCUAGUAAUCGCGCAUCAGCCACGGCGCGGUGAAUACGUUCCCGGGCCUUGUACACACCGCCCGUCAAGCCAUGAAAGCCGGGGGUACCUGAAGUGCGUAACCGCAAGGAGCGCCCUAGGGUAAAACUGGUGAUUGGGGCU
rnacentral:rRNA from 1 species